UACGGAGGGUGCGAGCGUUAAUCGGAAUUACUGGGCGUAAAGGGCGCGUAGGUGGUUGGGUAAGUCGGGUGUGAAAGCCCGGGGCUCAGCUUCGGAAGUGCACCGGAAACUGGCCGGCUGGAGCGCGGUAGAGGAGGGUGGAAUUCCUGGUGUAGCGGUGAAAUGCGUAGAUAUCAGGAGGAACACCGGUGGCGAAGGCGGCCCUCUGGACCGUUGCUGACGCUGAGACGCGAAAGCGUGGGGAGCAAACAGGAUUAGAUACCCGGGUAGU
rnacentral:rRNA from 1 species